ACGAACGCUGGCGGCGUGCCUAAUACAUGCAAGUCGAGCGAGCUUGCCUAGAUGAAUUUGGUGCUUGCACCAGAUGAAACUAGAUACAAGCGAGCGGCGGACGGGUGAGUAACACGUGGGUAACCUGCCCAAGAGACUGGGAUAACACCUGGAAACAGAUGCUAAUACCGGAUAACAACACUAGACGCAUGUCUAGAGUUUAAAAGAUGGUUCUGCUAUCACUCUUGGAUGGACCUGCGGUGCAUUAGCUAGUUGGUAAGGUAACGGCUUACCAAGGCAAUGAUGCAUAGCCGAGUUGAGAGACUGAUCGGCCACAUUGGGACUGAGACACGGCCCAAACUCCUACGGGAGGCAGCAGUAGGGAAUCUUCCACAAUGGACGCAAGUCUGAUGGAGCAACGCCGCGUGAGUGAAGAAGGGUUUCGGCUCGUAAAGCUCUGUUGGUAGUGAAGAAAGAUAGAGGUAGUAACUGGCCUUUAUUUGACGGUAAUUACUUAGAAAGUCACGGCUAACUACGUGCCAGCAGCCGC
rnacentral:rRNA from 1 species